AUGUUCUUCAGGCCAUGGCUGCGGCAAGCUCAAGCGGUGACCAAGGUGAUGCGUUCUCAGGUGGAUCUGAUGAUCGAGCGCGUCCGGUCCCACAUCUGGACCAGGGACACGGCUGUAGAGCUUCUCGGAUCUGUCUGCCUGGUGGAUAGCUUGGCACCGGAGACAGCCAGCCGAGAGGAUCUCUCCAUGUUCAAGCUUCGUGCGUGGUGCGUUGACCCUGAUGAAGUGCUGGUGGCGUGGAGGUUGUGGGUGCCGGAGCCUGAGGUGGAGGGAAACCCUGCGGCUCACCGGCCUACUUCCCGUCAGCUGCUGGAAUACAAGACGCUCAUCCAUAUUGGUCGAGUCAAGGAGCACGCCGGUCCAGAGGGCUGGCUCCGGCCGCCUAGCUCGGAUGGUAGCGGUCAGAGCGGCCUGCCGGAGCAUUCUGGCAGCUUCUCUGGCAGCGGAGAGUGGCGGGUGCUUCCAUGGACGCGGGGUGUUCGAGAUGUUUGCGGUGGCGCGCCGGCGGGAGGUGCUGUGGGUGGCUCGUAUCGGCAUGCUCUCCUAGGGCGUGUGGGGCCCUCAGACUGGCGCAUCCGGCCAAUGGUCGAGACAGGUGUCAGAGUUGUGCUGCCGCCGCCGCUGGGGUGGGAAGCAUCGCCGGUGGCAAGGCAUGUCACUCUGGCUCUGUAG
rnacentral:rRNA from 1 species